UCCCCGGGUUAUCGGAUUACUGGGCGUGAGCGUGUGUAGGCGGUUCGGAAAGAAAGAUGUGAAAUCCCAGGGCUUAACCUUGGAACUGCAUUUUUAACUGCCGAGCUAGAGUAUGUCAGAGGGGGGUAGGAUUCCACGUGUAGCAGUGAAAUGCGUAGAUAUGUGGAGGAAUACCGAUGGCGAAGGCAGCCCCCUGGGAUAAUACUGACGCUCAGACACGAAAGCGUGGGGAGCAAACAGGAUUAGAUACCCUGGUAGUCCACGCCCUAAACGAUGUCAGCUAGCUGUUGGGGCCGUUAGGCCUUAGUAGCGCAGCUAACGCGUGAAGUUGACCGCCUGGGGAGUACGGUCGCAAGAUUAAAACUCAAAGGAAUUGACGGGGACCCGCACAAGCGGUGGAUGAUGUGGAUUAAUUCGAUGCAACGCGAAAAACCUUACCUACCCUUGACAUGUCUGGAAUCCCGAAGAGAUUUGGGAGUGCUCGCAAGAGAACCGGAACACAGGUGCUGCAUGGCUGUCGUCAGCUCGUGU
rnacentral:rRNA from 1 species